GACGAACGCUGGCGGCGUGCCUAAUACAUGCAAGUCGAGCGAAUCGAUGGGAGCUUGCUCCCUGAGAUUAGCGGCGGACGGGUGAGUAACACGUGGGUAACCUGCCUGUAAGACUGGGAUAACUUCGGGAAACCGGAGCUAAUACCGGAUACUUUCUUUUCUCGCAUGAGGGAAGAUGGAAAGAUGGUUCUGCUAUCACUUACAGAUGGACCCGCGGCGCAUUAGCUAGUUGGAGAGGUAACGGCUCACCAAGGCGACGAUGCGUAGCCGACCUGAGAGGGUGAUCGGCCACACUGGGACUGAGACACGGCCCAGACUCCUACGGGAGGCAGCAGUAGGGAAUCUUCCGCAAUGGACGAAAGUCUGACGGAGCAACGCCGCGUGAGCGAAGAAGGCCUUCGGGUCGUAAAGCUCUGUUGUUAGGGAAGAACAAGUAUCGGAGUAACUGCCGGUACCUUGACGGUACCUAACCAGAAAGCCACGGCUAACUACGUGCCAGCAGCCGCGGUAA
rnacentral:rRNA from 1 species